GACGAACGCUGGCGGCGUGCCUAACACAUGCAAGUCGAGCGGGGUCCAACCAGUGGCAACACUGGGGACGACCUAGCGGCGAACGGGUGAGUAACACGUGAGAAACUUGCCCCGGAGUUCGGGAUAACCCGAGGAAACUCGAGCUAAUACCGAAUGCCCUCUUCUGAUCGCAUGGUCGGAUGAGGAAAGAUUCAUCGCUCCGGGAGAGUCUCGCGGCCUAUCAGCUAGUUGGUGGGGUAACGGCCCACCAAGGCAUCGACGGGUAGCUGGUCUGAGAGGACGAUCAGCCACACUGGGACUGAGACACGGCCCAGACUCCUACGGGAGGCAGCAGUGGGGAAUCUUGCGCAAUGGGCGAAAGCCUGACGCAGCAACGCCGCGUGCGGGAUGAAGGCCUUCGGGUUGUAAACCGCUUUCAGCAGGGACGAAAUUGACGGUACCUGCAGAAGAAGCCCCGGCCAACUACGUGCCAGCCGCCGCGGUAAGAC
rnacentral:rRNA from 1 species